GUUGGCGACUUCUGGCCCGACGGGACGCGACCACAUGGUGGCGGUCGCAGCAGGCUGGCAGAAGCGCAUCGAUGUAGCCGACCUCUGAGGACAGCGUGGCAGAGAGGGCAAGGGUUCAGAUGUGGAGCUCGGAGAUGGCUGCACAACAGCAGAGUGGCAUUUUCAAGGUAUCUAUCAACGUACAUCCAACGCCGGGGUUCCUCCUCAGCUGCAGCAAAAGAGACACAAUGAUAUCAGAAAGGAAUAGAGGGAGCCAUCUCUCAUGUCGCUGGCAAGAAAACUGUUUCAUCAUUAGAAUAGGGGUGGAUCUUGGAAAAUAUGUAAGGCAACUAUCCAUGGUACACACCAGAUGUGAACGUGGAGACGGUGGAGGACGUGGUGAAGCACCAGCAGCUGCUCGAGGAGGCAUGAGACCUGCAACACCUGCCCGCCUUGGCAGUGGGCGUCAUCCAGAUUGCAGAGAUAUUAUCCAAGCUAGAAAGAAAGGGUGGAGGAUAAAUUGUUAUGGUUGCAAAAUAAGAAGAUUUACAAUGUGUUGCAGCAACAUUAGGUGGAACUAUUCAACUUCAGCUUCAGGUAUAGUUCGUUAAAGAGGACAUCACCUCCUCUUCCGGCUCUAGACACCAAUAUUUGGCAUGAUGCAAGGAUGGUCUCUACGCUUGACGACCUACCGCUUUCUAGGGAAAAUCAAUUGAGUUUGAGAAAGGAAACAAAUAGCUCGUCUCGAGAAAGGUAUGAAUUUGGGUGCAGUUUAUAGGUGCUUUAAAAAAUUUGUAGGUUGCUAGCCAUUUGGCCGGUGUUUGCUUGAUAAAUUGUUAACUAAUUGAGUAGAUAUGUAAUAUCUUAGUUUGGUGAAAUUGAUGUAUAUUUAUUUUUUACAUGAUGCUCUCAUAGAUUGUUAAUUAACCUGUUUGUGGAUAAUGGCCUAUUGGUAUCUUGGUUUGGUGUCUGUGGGAUAUGGCAAGAGGUGAUGGCCUCAUGGAUCAUUGAUUGUACUUGAUGAUUGGGUGUUCCUUCCCCGUAUACAUUUGUAGUGAAGAAACAUUUUUUCUGUUUAUAAUAAUUAUACAUAUCGUGCAUUGAAUUUUACUCUGUGUUAUCGUUUAAUUUUUAUUGUGCAUAAGAUUUCAGUAGAGCAUUGCUCUUCCGUGCCUGCAACAUCCUAAGAGACAUGUGGUUAGAACAUGGCAGCGCAUAUCAUCUCCGGGAUUAGAGCAGUCAUGUCAGAAUCCUUGUGCCGCUAUUGUCUAUUUCUCAUUGUUGUCCUCGUACUAUUACAGCUCCGCAGUUCACAUACCCCUUGAAGAAUUAUUAAGGGAUUACGUUGUGUGCGAGUAGUGAAAGAUAAUGAUCCAUUACUUCUCUCAUUUUGUGCUUUCUUGCUUCUUAUGCAUUUCCUAUUUUUUGGUCCAGCUUGAUGUGCCUUUUGGUCUGUAUGGUAUUUGAAUCAGUUAAUUUAUCCUUUUUGGGAGUUGCUGUAGAAUUGGUUCGAUGUUUUCUUUUAGUUAGGAUAGAUGUUCAUUCCAACUAUCAGGUUUGCCAUAUUAAGAUGGCUGAGCCAUGGUGUCGAAUGCAACUUUCUUUUGUUUUCGAUCAUUUGUGUCAUUGCUAUGUUCUUAGGUCAUUCCUGAACAAGGAACUGUUCUUCUUGGAGGAUUUAUGUAUU